GACGAACGCUGGCGGCGUGCUUAACACAUGCAAGUCGAACGGAAAGGCCCUGCUUUUGUGGGGUGCUCGAGUGGCGACCGGGUGAGUAACACGUGAGUAACCUGCCCUUGACUUUGGGGUAUCUUCAGGAAACUGGGGCUCUUACCGGAUAGGAGUUCCUGCUGCUUGGUGGGGGUUGGUAAGUUUCGGCGGUUGGGGAUGGAAUCGCGGCUUAUCAGCUUGUUGGGUGGGUAGUGGCUUACCAAGGCUUUGCCGGGUAGCCGGCCUGAGAGGGUGGCCGGCCACAUUAGGACGGAGAUACGGCCCAGACUCCUACGGGAGGCAACGGUGGAGAAUAUUGCACAAGGGGCGGAAGCCUGAUGCAGCAAAGCCGCGUGCGGGAAGACGGGAUUCGGGUUGGGAACCGCUGUCGCCUGAGACGAAGCGUGAGUGACGGUAAUGGGUAAAGAAGCACCGGCUAACUACGUG
rnacentral:rRNA from 1 species